rnacentral:rRNA from 1 species
UACGGGGGGGCAAGCGUUGUUCGGAAUACUGGGCGUAAAGGCUCGUAGGCGGCCAACUAAGUCGGACGUGAAAUCCCUCGGCUCAACCGGGAACUGCGUCCGAUACUGGAUGGCUUGAGUUCGGGAGAGGGAUGCGGAAUUCCAGGUGUAGCGGUGAAAUGCGUAGAUAUCUGGAGGAACACCGGUGGCGAAGGCGGCAUCCUGGACCGACACUGACGCUGAGGAGCGAAAGCCAGGGGAGCAAACGGG